CCUACGGGUGGCUGCAGUGGGGGAUAUUGCACAAUGGGGGGAACCCUGAUGCAGCGAUGCCGCGUGGGUGAAGAAGCGCCUCGGCGCGUAAAGCCCUGUCAGCAGGGAAGAAAAUGACGGUACCUGAAGAAGAAGCCCCGGCUAAUUACGUGCCAGCAGCUGCGGUAAUACGUGGGGGGCAAGCGUUAGCCGGAUUUACUGGGUGUAACGGGGGCGCAGACGGCGUUGCAAGCCGGGGGUGAAAGCCGGGGGCGCAACCCGGGGAAGGUCGUGAGAACGGCGGGGUUGAGGGCAGGGAGGGGCGGGGGAAUUCCAUGUGGAGCGGGAAAAUGCGGAGAUAUAGGGAAGAACACCAGUGGCGAAGGCGGGCGUCUGGACUGGCACUGACGGUGAGGGCCGAAAGGGUGGGGAGCAAACAGGAUUAGAUACCCCUGUAGUC
rnacentral:rRNA from 1 species